UUCCACCCACAGCUCACCCCCUCUGCCCACCUCAUUAAAGAGCAGCUCCCGGCGCUGCUGCUUCCGGAGGUCCAUCAUCUUGACGGCCACCUGGCGGCCCGAGUGCUUCUCCCGGGCCAGGCAGACAAUGCCCGUGGAGCCCUCGCCGAUCUUCACGUAGCUGUCCAGCAGCAGCCGGGGGUCGCCCUGGUCCACCACCAUCCUGAGCGCAGCCUUGAACUGCUCGUGGGUCACGAUGCCCGCAUCCUCGCCAGCCAGGGCACCCUUGGCCACCGCAGGGUCCUGGGGCAGUGGGUCAGGACCUGGAUUCCCGUCCUGCUUCUGCUCUGAACUGUGAUGAACCUGAGACAAGUUGCCCUCUCGGAGCCUCAGUCUCCUCUGCAAAAUGCUUGUGUGCAGGAAGCUAAGAAAGGACUAAACACCCCAAGAGCAACAUUUUGAAGAACGCACAG